GCAUGGGGUAGUGAGGACCUAUUCUAUCCCGGAUCACUACGGGAUUCUUAACGUCAUUGUAUAUCAGUUUUGGUAGUGAAUUUUGCAUUUGAUUUCAAUCUGACGUUGGACAGUGCAACCUUACACAAAGAUCAAGGUUCCAAUGGUUUCAAAGUUUAGAUUUAAAUGUCAAGCUCACUGAAUGGAAGUUUUAUUUCAAUGGCACUUUUGGAAGACCGUUACAUGUUCAGUGCCGUAGACAUGUGUAGAACCAGUGAGAGAACUACCUGUCAGCUUAAGAAACUACAAGGACAAGGUGAAACCAUUAAUAACAUAGCUCAAGUCAACAAUGCAGCAAGAGGAAAGAAGAUACAAAGCAAUAGGAAAAAAAUCAACACAGACACCAAAAUACCCAAGCAAUGUAGAUUCCAAAUGUAAAUACUGUGGUGGAAAAUCUUCAAGUUGAUUCUGGAUCAACCUACAACAUUCGUAGAUUUAGGCAAUACUGCAUUCUCACCCAGAAUAGUUGCCCGCCAUUGAAACCAGCAAGCAAUACUCAACAAGAAGUUAAUAAUGUUUAACUGCUAACGCACGACUGAUGCAGGCAAAUACCAACAGGCCAUCUAAAAAUUAACUACAUGUUGUCAAUACCUAUACAGCUGAAAAUGUUUUAGAAUUACAUGUAUCAUCUCUUUAGAGUUUAAGAUUACUCUUUGAAUUGCAAA